rnacentral:rRNA from 1 species
GACGAACGCUGGCGGCGUGCCUAAUACAUGCAAGUCGAGCGAAUCAAUAGGAGCUUGCUCCCGUUGAUUAGCGGCGGACGGGUGAGUAACACGUGGGCAACCUGCCUGUAAGACUGGGAUAACACCGCGAAACCGGUGCUAAUACCGGAGAAUCCUUUUCCUCUCAUGAGGAUAAGAUGCAAGUCGGUUUCGGCCGACACCUACAGAUGGGCCCGCGGCGCAUUACCUAAUUGGUGAGGUAACGGCUCACGAAGGCGACGAUGCGUGGCCGCCCGGAGAGGGUGAUCGGCCAGAAUGGAGCUGAGACACGGCGCAGACUCCUACGGGAGGCAGCAGUAGGGAAUCUUACACAAUGGACGAAAGUCUGAUGGAGCAACGCCGCGUGAGCGAUGAAGGCCUUCGGGUCGUAAAGCUCUGUUGUUAGGGAAGAACAAGUACCGGAGUAACUGCCGGUACCUUGACGGUACCUAACCAGAAAGCCACGGCUAACUACGUGCCAGCCGCCGCAGUAAAAC